UUAAGUUCAGCGGGUAUCCCUACCUGAUCCGAGGUCAACCUGGAGAAAGAGGAGUUGGUCGUCGGCGAGCGCCGGCCGGGCCUACAGAGCGGGUGACGAAGCCCCAUACGCUCGAGGACCGGACGCGGUGCCGCCGCUGCCUUUCGGGCCCGUCCCCCGGGGAGGGGGGACGUGGGCCCAACACACAAGCCGGGCUUGAG
rnacentral:misc_RNA from 1 species